rnacentral:rRNA from 1 species
UACGUAGGGUGCGAGCGUUGUCCGGAAUUAUUGGGCGUAAAGAGCUCGUAGGCGGUUUGUCGCGUCGACUGUGAAAACCUACAGCUUAACUGUGGGCUUGCAGUCGAUACGGGCAGACUUGAGUUCGGUAGGGGAGACUGGAAUUCCUGGUGUAGCGGUGAAAUGCGCAGAUAUCAGGAGGAACACCGGUGGCGAAGGCGGGUCUCUGGGCCGUAACUGACGCUGAGGAGCGAAAGCAUGGGGAGCGAACAGG